rnacentral:rRNA from 1 species
CGCGUAGGCUGUUGAGUAAGUCAAAUGUGAAAUCCCCGGGCUUAACCUGGGAACUGCAUUCGAUACUGCUUAACUAGAGUAUGGCAGAGGGAAGUGGAAUUCCGGGUGUAGCGGUGAAAUGCGUAGAUAUCCGGAGGAACACCAGUGGCGAAGGCGACUUCCUGGGCCAAUACUGACGCUGAGGUGCGAAAGCGUGGGGAGCAAACA